rnacentral:rRNA from 1 species
GUGUCAGCCGCCGCGGUAAUACGUAGGGAGCGAGCGUUGUCCGGAUUUAUUGGGCGUAAAGAGCGCGUAGGCGGCUUGGUAAGCCGGAUGUGAAACCCCCAAGCUCAACUUGGGGCGGCCAUUCGGAACUGCCAUGGCUAGAGUCUGGUAGGGGAACACGGAAUACCUGGUGUAGCGGUGAAAUGCUUAGAUAUCAGGUGGAACACCAGUGGCGAAGGCGGUGUUCUGGGCCAGUACUGACGCUGAGGCGCGAAAGCGUGGGGAGCGAACAGGAUUAGAAACCCUCGUAGUCC